GAAAAGGUCAGAAUUUAAUUAACUCUAAAACUUGCUCUCGCCCUGAUCUAGAAUUAAUGCCUAAUUUACACUGUCCAGUUAAAACCUCAAACUCUCGCUCUAUUGAUUUUAACUUCUUUAUGUCUUUUACUUUUGUAAAAAAUUCUUGUUAUUAAACCUGUAAAUUGAGACCGUAAAAAGAUUGAUUUUACUUUUAAAUUUAAUUAGACCGACUUAGUCUUGAUCCCUUAUUCCGCUUACUUUACAUACCGAUAUCUAGGCAAAUUAGCCAGACAUACUAAACAGACAAAAAUACAUAUCAUGCAUAAACAGACUCAUCCCAGGCAGAUAAUAUAAAUAAGUAAUAAAAC
rnacentral:lncRNA from 1 species